rnacentral:rRNA from 1 species
GACGAACGCUGGCGGCGUGCUUAACACAUGCAAGUCGAACGGAAAGUCCCUGCUUUUGUGGGGUGCUCGAGUGGCGAACGGGUGAGUAACACGUGAGUAACCUGCCCUUGACUUUGGGAUAACUUCAGGAAACUGGGGCUAAUACGGGAUAGGAGCUCCUGCUGCAUGGUGGGGGUUGGAAAGUUUCGGCGGUUGGGGAUGGAAUCGCGGCCUAUCAGCUUGUUGGUGUGGUAGUGGCUUACCAAGGCUUUGACGGGUAGCCGGCCUGGGAGGGUGACCUGCCACGUUGGGAUUGAGAUGCGGCCCAGACUCCUACGGGAGGCAGCAGUGGGGAAUAUUGCACAAUGGGCUGAAGCCUGAUGCAGCAACGCCGCGUGCGGGAUGACGGCCUUCGGGUUGUAAACCGCUUUCGCCUGUGACGAAGCGUGAGUGACGGUAAUGGGUAAAGAAGCACCGGCUAACUACGUG